rnacentral:lncRNA from 1 species
UGACCUCAUCUCAAAGACAAUUAAUAGCCUGUGGUCUUCACAUAAACAGCAACAAGACAAGGACUCACAGGCACUGGACAGCUAAGCAGCAGAUCUGCUAAGAAGUGGUCAGAUUUUUGGAGCCCUUAGGGAAGUACUGUACCUAUUGAACGGUGUUCAGGGAAUUGAGAGUGUUCAAGAUCAUUUGCAAUAAAUCAGUGGGAUCUGAAGGACUGAGCCUCAGGUUGGAACUCUGCACAGCCCUGAAUUCUGGACCUGCCACUACCACCCUCUCUAGGGCAUGCCGGCACUCAGAUUUAUAGUGAUCUUCCAGUCUAUCAGGUUUUACGAGGGUGCUUCAUGCAGAGACACUGGAAGCAUGUAAACGCAGAG